GGUUCAAAGGAGGUAUGAGACAAAAAGAAUAUUAUGAAGAGGGUACGGAGCCGGAGGAGAGGCUUUAUCAUGCCCCACGGCAUGAUGGCCGAAGAGGUCAUGGGAAGAUAAGAAGGAGAAGGCCACAUGUAGGAAAAUAUGGUGAUGAAAAAGGGAGUCCAAGAGUUCAAGAUCUGGGGUUAAGAAAUCAAAAAUAGACUUUCUAAA
rnacentral:lncRNA from 1 species